rnacentral:lncRNA from 1 species
AAAAAAAUUAAAAAGACCCCUAAGCCUAAAUAUUUCCAGGUUUGCUCACCCCCGUGGGUUUGGUGCACUCUGUAGCUGCUUGACCUGCAGGGCCUUUCAAAGCUCUCUGCGAGUCUCUGUGCCAAAAUAAAUGUUACUUUACCAUCAAGUAGGCAGAAGAAUGAAAACCGUAAGAUGUGUGAGUGAGAAAAAAAGAGCCCGAACAGGAAAACCCCUUUCUUCUGUUUAAAAGUCCUGGAUGAUCAAGGCUGUACUGUUCACUCUGAUUUAAUCAGCUUGCAGAUACCCAAAUACACAUCCAGCCAUGGAAAGUGCUCUCCCUUUGAUUCCAGCAAAAUCCUUUCUAAUUCUCUUUAAAUGUUCCAGGGCUUUUUGAAAUGAUUGCUAUCAAUGCCAACCAAAUGCUUUAGAUCUCUUUUUUUUUCUUUUUUUUUUUUUUUUUUUUUUUUUACUUUGCCUGUCUUCAAGUACUUGCUUUAUUUCUAUGCAGCCCAGUUACAGCUGUACAUGGAAAAAGUAUCUAGAAAACAGGUCUGGUUUGCUUUAGCCUUUAUGCCAUAUAGAGUUAGACAUUUUAACCUUCUUUACAUUUACUUAGUUGCUUUAAUAUGAUUUCUGCAACCCCUAUACUUUCUUUUUUCCAUAUAAUUUAUUAAAUAUUUAUAAUACAGUAGCCCAUACACAUUGCAUAGGUUGGAUUUUUAUUACAUUAGGCUUGACAUAGCUAUCUAGUAAAUCAUAAGUCAUGCUCCUCCUAAAAGUUAAAAACCAAGAUUGUUCAGCUGAGCUUGGACUGAAUUUAUGAGGGAUCAGCUCAAAAAAAAGCUAAGAUGGUUAAAACAAUAGAUAGACUUGUUUAACCAGAAAAAGAUCUCUGAAAUUGCUGGAUCUGCAGUGUUUACCCUGGGUAGGAGCACCAGGACAUGAACAAUAUGCUUGGGAGUCCAGUGCAGCAGCUGUGGGUGCUGGUGACUGCUUAUGCCAAGGCAUGGUCAGCAGCUCUUGCAGCCACCAUGAGAAUGCUGCUGCUUCUUCUGUCACCGCUGCUCCCUCCCCUCCCUCCCUUCCCUCACCAAACCAUGGCUGUACGUGAUUUCUCCCCAGCAUCAGCCUGCAUCCCCUGCUACUGCACUGCUGCCUCAGGCACUCCAUGCCAGUAUGGGAAAAACCCCUCCCUCAGUCCAGCCCAGCUGAGUGGUGGUGCCUCGAGCGAGGGUAACAUCCCUAGCACCUGGAAUCUGCUGUCCUCAGCCCCAGCUUGCAAGUCAAAGGUCUUGGGACCCUCUGGGUUUGAAGGCAGAUCUCGAUCAGCACUAAUUUGGGGAAGUGAGCCGGAGGUACCUGCAGCAGAUGACACACAGGGCUCAGCUUCUUAUUCAGCUACAAGUCAGCAGGGGCACCCCCUGACCAUCUGUGGUCUAUAAAUUACAGUAACACCGGCACACACUGCUUGUAAAUCACCAAAGAACAGGCUUUACCUUAUGACACAUUACAUGAACCCUGUUGGAUAUUCCAAUAAACUCCCAUAAACCAUUUGAUAUAAACUCUGG